AUUUCCUCUCCUCUGCAAGAGCUGCGUCGGGGGAUCCUUUGGGAUCUUGAUUUGCCAAAACCUCUCAUUAGGACAGGCAGAACUUGGCAGAAGACCUAGGGACUCCUUCCGAUCUCCU